GUCUAUGGCCGUACCACCCUGAACUUGCCCGACCUCGUCUGAUUUCGGAAGCUAAGCAGGGCUGGGCCUGGUUAGUACUUGGAUGGGAGUCUACCUGGGAACCUGAUAGGCAUGGUCC
ensembl:rRNA predicted gene, 25675